UACGUAGGGUGCAAGCGUUAAUCGGAAUUACUGGGCGUAAAGCGUGCGCAGGCGGUGAUGUAAGACAGGUGUGAAAUCCCCGGGCUUAACCUGGGAACUGCAUUUGUGACUGCAUCGCUGGAGUGCGGCAGAGGGGGGAUGGAAUUCCGCGUGUAGCAGUGAAAUGCGUAGAUAUCAGGAGGAACACCGAUGGCGAAGGCAGGUCUCUGGGCUGACACUGACGCUCAUGCACGAAAGCGUGGGGAGCAAACAGG
rnacentral:rRNA from 1 species